rnacentral:rRNA from 1 species
UACGUAGGGUGCAAGCGUUGUCCGGAAUCAUUGGGCGUAAAGAGCGUGUAGGCGGCUCGAUCAGUCUGCUGUGAAAGCCCAGGGCUCAACCCUGGGAUGCCGGUAGAUACUGUCGAGCUAGAGUCCGGAAGAGGCGAGUGGAAUUCCUGGUGUAGCGGUGAAAUGCGCAGAUAUCAGGAGGAACACCAAUGGCGAAGGCAGCUCGCUGGGACGGUACUGACGCUGAGGCGCGAAAGCGUGGGGAGCAAACAGG